UUUCGUGGUCGGCGUCCAUUCCCCACCCUUCUGAAGAUUUGUCCCACACACACACCCCUCUCUUAUCCCUUCUCCCCAUCCGUCCACAGCGACACGGGUCGGCGCGGCGGCGUGGUGCCGGCGACAGUGGAUCUUGGAUCCGGCGAGCUAACAGAGCUGAGCGGCUCAGCAUCUGCAAGCACGGCGAGGGAGGAGCAGGACUUCGCUCGCUGUCGAAGGGCGCCCCCAUGGUGAGGGAGAUAAGUCGCUUGACAUUGACAGCUCACGCGACCCUCAUGUAGCAGGAGGCGGUGGUGCGACGCGAGCUUGUGCGACCGCGGCGUGUGAGAGGCGACUCCGCGUGGUGCGGGAGAUAACUGAUUGUGCAUCGGCAGCGUGCAAGACUGGAAGUCGCAAGUUAGAGGUGUGUGUAAGUAAUUUUCCCCAUCCAACCAAUGUCAUGGAAUAGCAAUCUAAUCGUCACAGUCAUUAAGAUGGACUUGAAGGGGUAUGGUGUGUUUGUCAAGCUACAAGUGAGUAGACCUUUUUGCUCCCCUUCUUUUGUUUUUGAAUACAUCUCCUUUUUUAACUUGCACAUGUUUGUUCUGGCAGUUUUACAACUAGGCAUACCAGUCUGGCACAACAACCCAUGGUAGUUGCACAAAGGCUUAUACAUUUUUCUCUCAAAGGUAGUGGAAGAGGGAACAAACAAACAAAUCAGCAUGAGUUUGAAAUAAACAAAUCAAAUUUUGGCAGCACCUUUUCUAUCAAACUAAACAUCCAAAUAAAUUCUCUCAGUUGCACACAUGGGUCUAAUCAGUUGCACAGAUGCACCCACAGAUUGCACAAAUAAAACACAUGAUGUUUUUUUUUGCUGUUGUAUUACAUUUCUUCUUCUUCUGUAUUCAAGCUUUUCACACAAGUUCUAUUCCAGCUGGCACACAAUAGACACAAAUCUGAAAGUAUUUUUAUUCAAGUCAAACAUCCAAACUAGUUCUGUCAGUUGCACAAUUCUUUUUUAAGUUGCACAGAAGAAAGCCAUAAGUUGCACACCACAAAUCUAUCUAGUUCCAAUAUGUUGUCAGGUUUGCCGCCACAUACAUUUUUUAUGUUUUUCCAUAGUUCCACAUAGGGUAUUCUGCCAAUUUUGACCAAGAUGACAUACAACAUGGGGUCCCAUGUUUUCUCAUGAAGUUUUUGUUUUUUAUGCAUCAACAAUCUUACAAGCAGUAACACAUCUUCUUUUUGUUUUGUUUUUGUCUACCAACCAGGAGCUGGAUGGAUGAGCUUCUAACAAACAAAUUUUGCACAGAAGAAGUGAUCACCAAUAAGCAAUCUGCUACUUUGUCUCUCUUUUUUAGCCAUUGUUUGCCUUUUGAACUAAAACAUUAGUGCAUUAUAGAUAUAUCUAGUAGACUAGGUGCAACAAACUAGAACAUAUGGCCUAUAUAUGUUACAUUUUCUUCUUUUUUACAGCAGGAUGUUCACUGGUUUCCUCUGUGUGUGUGUGUUGCACAAUAUGAAACAAAAGUUGGCUGGAUUACCUGAAAUAGUUGGUCGCAACCAAAAGAAAAGUCACACAAUAUGAAAUUCCAUGUUUGUGUGUUCCUGGGGUUUUAUGUGUGUUUUUGCACAAGUUUGGCUGAACUAUUUGUGGAGCAGUUGCAGUCAACAUGAAGAUGAAUUGGAGAAGUUGAAUUCAAGCUGAAGAAGAAGAGGAACAUGUCACCUUGGUUCCUCCUUUUUUCAAGUUGAAGAUCUACAGCAGCCUGAUCUUCCCUGACAGCUUCUGAGAUAGGGAAGGCUCCCAUGGCGUGUUCGUAGUUACUUCUUUCGAGGGUAAGAAGAUGGUGGGCGAAGCAGCAGGAGAUGGGUUGGUGUGUGUGGGUGAUUGGUGAGACCAGGAACGAGGAAGAGAAAAGGUGGGGGCAGAAUCACGUGGGUUCAGUAGUGGAGUGGGGCGCUGGGGACCUGGUGUUUUCUGUGCGGUGGGGGUUGUCCUUUCCCUUUUUUCCUUUUUAGGAUUGAGUGGGGACAGAAACUUACCAUAUUUAGGAGGCCGCUCGGGACCGCUAGGGAGCCAACGGCCGCUCCCUCGACGCGUCCUGUUUGUUUUGCACUCUUCAAAGUCCUUUGCCGAGUGUAACAAAGCAGGCACUCAUCAAACAAACGGCCGAUGACAGAA